rnacentral:rRNA from 1 species
CUGCUGCCUCCCGUAGGAGUCUGGGCCGUGUCUCAGUCCCAAUGUGGCCGUCCACCCUCUCAGGCCGGCUAUGGAUCGUCGGUUUGGUGGGCCGUUACCCCGCCAACUGCCUAAUCCAACGCGGACCCAUCCUAUGCCGCCUCAGCUUUUCACACCGUACCAUGCGGUACUGUGCGCUUAUGCGGUAUUAGCACCCGUUUCCGGAUGUUAUCCCCCUGCAUAGGGCAGGUUGUCCACGCGUUACUCACCCGUCCGCCG